GUGGGGAAUAUUGCACAAUGGGGGAUACCCUGAUGCAGCAACGCCGCGUGAAGGAUGACGGUUUUCGGAUUGUAAACUUCUUUUCUUAGUGACGAAGACAGUGACGGUAGCUAAGGAAUAAGCAUCGGCUAACUACGUGCCAGCAGCCGCGGUAAUACGUAGGAUGCAAGCGUUAUCCGGAUUUACUGGGUGUAAAGGGAGCGCAGGCGGGACUGCAAGUUGGAUGUGAAAUACCGUGGCUUAACCACGGAACUGCAUCCAAAACUGUAGUUCUUGAGUGAAGUAGAGGCAAGCGGAAUUCCGAGUGUAGCGGUGAAAUGCGUAGAUAUUCGGAGGAACACCAGUGGCGAAGGCGGCUUGCUGGGCUUUAACUGACGCUGAGGCUCGAAAGUGUGGGGAGCAAACAGGAUUAGAUACCCUGGUAGUCC
rnacentral:rRNA from 1 species